AGAGUUAAAUCCAUGGUCUGGCGCAUGGUUGUUGACAGACUCUGCAUUUUCAAGGACUGGUCUAUUUCUUACAUAGUCGUAUUUUCCUUUAAAAAAGUGCACUUACAGGAGGAUAAUAGUUUAUUGAUAUAAAGCAAGGCCAAUAGUUGAAAUCAAUAUGCAGAGUUCAAAUCGAAAACUUGCAUUAUACCACCAUAAAUUUCCAGUAAAACCUCCUCUAGUGUUGACUGAGAAUUUCAAGAAAACCCUUGCACCAUGUUAUCCUUCAUGAAGUGUGCAAAACGUGUUAUAGGCCUAGUGAGCUUUGUUUAUAACGUUAAGACACUGAAUAUUUAUUACAAUUCCAGUGAUUGGUUAGAAAUAAUUCAGCAGUGAAGAUGUGAUACGGUACGGUAACCAGUUCAUGUUAAUAUUAUAAUACACAUCAGUUGGCCUAAGUAGACAGAUAUUGAUGGUAUAUUUUGGAAUAACAUCAGUUGGAAAUCGAUAUCAGUGUUGUAAAUUAUUAUCAAAUUAUCUGAACGUUGUUAUACAAAGUGCCUUUAAUCCGUCCAAAUAAUCUAUUCUUAUAAUAAUAUUUCAUUAUAACAGUCCUAGUUCAUGAGAACUAUGAAUUGAAAUGUAGGUAAACGAAAUACAUGAAUCAUAAUUUAUAGACAUAUAUUAACAGAUAAAACUGGACAGUAUCCUAUCACAUGAAGGGAAACAAUCAAUAAAUAAAUCCAGUCCUUCUAGUGAUAAUCUAUCUAUAAUGCUAAGUGGACUAUCUUCAGCACAACGAUUAGCUUUAUUGAGUGCGACAAGAGAGAAAUCUGGAUCACCGUCAAGUGAGGGACACAGGAACAUGACAACCACUCCACCGCUUCAUGCUGGAGUCAAUGUUCUUUUGGGAGGAGCGAUGAUGAGUGGUAUGCUGCUGCUGGUUGUUUGUGUGUGCUAUUGCUGCCAUAGGAGAGUGAAUAAACCAGACUAUGAGCCGAACAAUGGAUUCAAGUACCUGAAGAGACUGACUCAACGUUACAAAUAUUCACUCUAGAACAGCAGUGUUUUGAAAUAGCAGCAGAAGUGGAACGAUCGCGAACUCCAAGUCCUCCUCCGACUUACGAUGAGGUGGUCAGCAGUCAGAGCAAGAAGGACGACCAGAGUCCUCCAAGCUACGAUUCCGCCGUCAAAUUGGCAGCAUGUGGAUAUGUUUAGUAUGUGUAUAGUGUGUAACUCUAAAAACUUCUAUUACAACUUCAAAAACCAGUGACUGCAGAAGCACACAUUAUGCUCAAUCUGGAAGAUUCGCACAUUUCUCAAUGGAUGCCUUCGCUAAAUUGAACCACAAUGACAACUGAGCACAAAAUAAUUCACCAAAAAAUGUUUAAAAUAAGUGGGAAAACUAGAUAUAGAUCAUUGACUGUUUUCUUUAUAGAAAUCCUAGGACGUACAUAAACAUAACUAGUUCUCACUGAAAAUGUUAUCAUUUGUUGUUGAAGUUUUAUUUAUACUGUGAAUAAU